rnacentral:lncRNA from 1 species
UUUUCUAUUUUCUGCUGCAAAUUUCUCAAACAUAUUUGCUGCAUUCUGCUCUCAUUCCUGGUUAACCCCUCCUUCUCUUCUUCCCAUUUCUAGGGUUAGCUCCCAAAGCUUUACCUUCCCUUCUUUUCCCCCUUUUUGCUCAGCUAAUUAUGAUGGGCCUCAGACCAUUAUACCCAUCAAGAUGUUAAAGCUUUUCCCUCUGUGAACAGCAAAAAAGAAGGGGGGAAGGUGAGUGAGGUUCACUUUUGAUACGAACCCCAGAAAAAUUAGUCUUCUCCGGAGGCAAUGUGAGGGAUAAAGAAAGAAUCUUGAUUUCCCCCACACAACACAGCCGCAUCAUGGUGGC